AAAGCAGAUUGUUGCGGAGAAUACGUGGCCGGGCCUUGUACACACCGCCCGUCACACGAUGGGAGUGGGUUGCUCCUGAAGUGGAUAGUCUAACCUUCGGGAGGACGUUCACCACGGAGUGAUUCAUGACUGGGGUGAAGUCGUAACAAGGUAGCCCUAGGGGAACCUGGGGCUGGAUCACCUCCUUAUACGA
rnacentral:rRNA from 1 species